UACGAAGGGUGCUGGCGUUGUUCGGAAUUACUGGGCGUAAAGCGCGCGUAGGCGGCUUGUCAAGUCAGGGGUGAAAUCCCACAGCUUAACUGUGGAACUGCCUUUGAAACUGUCAAGCUAGAGUGUUGGAGGGGAUAGCGGAAUUGCUAAUGUAGAGAUGAAAUUCGUAGAUAUUAGCAGGAACACCGGUGGCGAAGGCGGCUAUCUGGACAACAACUGACGCUGAGGCGCGAAAGCGUGGGGAUCAAACAGG
rnacentral:rRNA from 1 species